AAAUUUCAGAAAAAAAAUUAAGGGAGAAAACCCUUCCCCCCCUCUCUCCACAGCCGCCCAGCCCCUUCCUUGUCCCUCUUUUCCGCCUCCUCUUCUCUUCCCUCUUCCCUCUCCUUCACCUCCCCUCCCUCUAUUUUCUCCGUCUCCUUUUUCUCCUCGUUCUGACCAGCAGCAGAGCGUAGCUGGCAGCUGGAAUCUCCGGCAACAGCUACAAACAGAGGAAGUGUACAUCAAAACUCACAGCGGCAACUAUCUUCGGCGAAGACAGCACCACCAACGCAGUUCAUUCCCCUUUCCCUUUUUUUUCGAGUUUAUGUUUUUUUGCAGGUCAACAGAAGCUCCGAGAUCCGAUCAAAACAACUCCAGCAGUGACGGACUAUAACCACAACUCCGGCCAGAUCCAGCAACCUCGAUGUUGCUCCGACAAAGCCAUUCACAUAACCCCAAAACUCAAAAUUCCAGCGAGCUCCACUGUUUUCACCUAGUUUGGUCAUAUCCUUGUUGGAGUAAGUGCUGAAGCAAGGAGAAGUUGCCCAAAGGAAUAAGAAGGUUCUUUUAGUUGAUAAUAACUCAAUCCAUCUAGUCAUGGACGAAUACAAAAGAAAUUCUCUCAAGCAACGCUCGAACCCCCAAUUCAAGAGGAAAGGAGGCAGUAAAAAUGCAAAGUUGAAUUUUUCUAGUCAUGAACGGUCAUCUGAAAAUUCUCAGAGUUCAGAUACUACCUAUUGUAUACUUUGUCAAUCCAAAAAAGUUGGUAGCGUAAUUGGAAAAGGUGGUAGCAUAAUCAAAGCCUUGAGAGAGGAAACUCAAGCAAAGAUUACAGUUGCUGACAGUGUUCCUGGUUCUGAUGAUAGAAUAGUAAUCAUCUCCAGUCCCUCUACAAAACUAGCUAGGAGACAGAAUAAUGACAAAAACAAUGAUAAUCCAGAGACAAAGGAAGAGAAUUAUUCCAUGGAGCCACAUUGUGCCGCACAAGAUGCUCUGUUAAAAGUUCACAAUAGGAUUGUUGAGGAAGACUUGCUGGGAGUACAAAAUGAGGAUAAGAGUGAAGCUGUAAUAAUCACGCGUCUCCUUGUUCCGAACAAUUUGGUUGGAUGCCUUUUAGGAAGAAAAGGCGAUGUUAUUCAGAAAUUGCGAAGUGAGACUGGGGCUAGCAUUCGUGUCCUUUCUGCUGAGCAUUUGCCCGCUUGUGCUAUGACCACUGAUGAAUUGGUCCAAAUCUCAGGCAAACCUGCUUUAGUGAAAAAAGCCUUGUAUGAAGUAUCAACUCUGUUGCAUCAGAAUCCUCGAAAAGACAAACCUAUCUCGAGUUUUCCUAUGGUACAUGGUGCUCAAGGUUUUCACCCCCCUGGUCCUCCCAUGGAAAAUAUGAUUCCUCCAGGAAAACCAAUGUGGUCUCAAAGUAAAACUAAUUUAAAUGGUAUGCCGCCUGCAUUAGGGGUGGGAGGCUAUAGGAACCAGCUUACUGGAUUUGGCCGUGCAGAUUUUGAUUAUGGUCCUCCCCCUAGUGCUGGUGAAGCUCCAGGUGAUUUCACCAUGAAAAUUCUGUGCUCAGCUGCAAAAAUUGGUGGUGUUAUAGGCAAGGGAGGCUUCAAUGUAAAACAACUGCAGCAGGAAACAGGAGCAGGUAUACAUGUUGAGGAUGUCGCACCUGAAUCUGAUGAAAGAGUUAUUCGUGUCUCCUCUUUGGAGUCUUUUUGGGAUCCCAGAUCACGAACUAUUGAUGCCAUUCUCCAACUUCAAAGUAAAACAAGUGAAUUUUCUGACAAAGGAAUUGUCACUACGAGGCUUCUUUUCCCCUCAAAUAAGGUUGGCUGCAUUAUUGGACAAGGAGGACAGGUUAUCAAUGAGAUGAGAAGGAGAACACAGGCGGAUAUUCGUGUUCUUUCCAAGGACGAAAAACCCAGAUGCGCAUCUGCAGAUGAAGAGCUUGUGCAGAUAUCUGGAAGCAUCGGUGUUGCAAAAGAUGCCUUGGUUGAGAUUUCUUCAAGGCUCAGAGAAAGAUGCCUUAGGGAUGCAAAUAGUAAAGUGGAGUCUACUCAUGUUAGGCCACUUCCUGGAUUUGUUCCAUCAGAGGAUUUUCGAAGUCGAGACCCACAACGUUCAGGUGUGAUGGGGGCUGGUAGCUCUAGAAGAUAUGAACAUUUGAAGGGUGCUGUUCGUGAAUGUGACCAUCCAAGUUAUCCAGAUCUUCCCAUUGCCACUAGAUUCUCAAAUACCCGUAGUCCCCCAGAGAUGAAGUUUCCAGACCAUUCUUAUGGUACUGCAAAAGGAACAGGAGGGUACAACAUUGAUGAGGUGAAGAGAGAGGAAAUGGAGGACCUCAGUAGAUUAUAAGAUCCAGGAAAAGAGAAUCCUAUCUGAGUGUGACCUCCUUCAAAAAAAUCCACUUGGCCAGAAAUGAGGAAAUAGCUUGGGGAUAGAGAUCCAGAGUGCUAUGGCUCAAGUAAGGGCACAAGAAAACUAAAUAUUUUCCUACAGUUGCCACAAGACAUAAGAGAUUCAACUCUAUUUGAUACUUUAGUAGUGGAUGGGACUUUUGUUUCAGAUCCAGAAGACAUAAAGGGAAAUCAUCAGUUCUAUCAGAAUCUUUACAAAGAAACUGAAUAUUGGAGGCCUGAUUAUAAUCUUUAAGGGGUUGAAGGUAUUAACCUGGAGGAAAAAGAAUAGUUACUAAGGCAAUUUGAUGAAGUGUUGAAUUGCAUCAAACUAUGUGCCAGUGAUGGACUCUUCACUUAUGAUGCUGCACCCGUCUCGGAUUCUUCAAAAAUACAAUACUUUUGGCGAAUUUGACAUGCACCCAUUGGGAUUUUUUGAAGAGUCCGAGCAACAUAGAUUAUACAACAUUGCCAUUCUCAAAAAAAUAAAAAUCCAAAAAAUUUAAAAUCAAAAUUGAAGUUUUGAUAAUUCAAACAACGCCCUCUCCUAAUCACUCCUAAAAUCCUGACGAAGGAGUCAAUUGUGACUUUUCCCACUUUGCUCCCUUUGCAACUGUAACAGCCAAUAUCCUGGGUUGAAGUUUGCUGGAAGUAGUGCAAGAUAUCAGGAUCCUCGUUCUAUUGGACCUGGAUUCGUUGAUGAUAUUCGGGGCACUUCAGAUCGUAUGAAUGCUGGGC